CCCGGCCUGAGGAGCAGGGGAGGGAGCUUCGAGACUAGGGCAGCGCGAAAAGUAGGUGGUUUGGAGAGUUGGGGGUUUCCAGAAGGCGUUUACUGACUGAUCCAAAUAAAACAUCUGGUGUGUUCCAGCUUCCCUGAACAUGGUGAGCAACAGCUGCCUCCCCAUACCACCUCUGGGAUCCUCUGACAAGCCAGAUCCAUGCCUGGCCCAAGACAAGCUGCCUUGGCUUCCCUGCAGGUACCUGCCCUGGGAGGGACAUGGCUACUGGGCAGUACAAGAUGUGGACUCUCCUCCUUCAGGGCUCUGAUUACAAGAUUGACCUAGAGACAAGAUAUAAUAAGGAUGAGGAACUUCUCCUGAACAGAUAGAUGUCUGCUCAAAGUCUCCUUCUUCCAAAAACAGAGCGCUGGUUCUUAGAGGCUGAGGAUGGUGGUACACUCACAAACCUCAAGAUCCACCUGGUUGAAUAUGACUGCAGGGAUCUUCAAACAUCUUAUACACCAAAACCCAAAGAAGAGAAGCCUGCCCACUGCAAUUUGCUGGAAGUACUUGUAUAAAUGGCUCAGUAUGGCUUUUAUUCUUUGAUGCUUAUAAGGGUUUUUCUGGCAUUCACGGAGUUACAUGCCCAUUCAUCUGUCAAAACUGAAAGAGAAAUCUUUCUCAAGAAAGUGUUCAAAGGCACAUGUCUAAAAAAAUGCAACAUAAUAAGACAAGUGAAAAAUGCUAGGUCCUAAAUAUUCUAAGCAUUCUGGGAAGCAUGGGUACAUUUUAAAACUGAUUGCUGUUCUAAUUCUCUGUGUAUCAUAUUCAUAGCUUUUAAAAAAAUUACUGAUUUCUUUGAUGAAGAGUUUAGCAAAUGCAGAAAUUGAAUCUUAAUUUCAGAAUGCUUUGAUUGCUUCUAAUUGCUUGUUGUUUUUUCACAUGUCUGAGUUUAAUAUCACAGAAAGCUUUUGAAUCAUUAGCUCUGGAAAAAUAACCCUGUCACUUAAUCACACAAUAAGUGAAUUACAGGCAUCCAGGCCAGCCAAGGGACCUGACCUGGAAGUUCCUUUCUAAGACUCAACUGGGAGAUUCAUCUGUCUUCAGCCAUGCAAAUCAUUUCUCAUCUUAGUGGAAAAUUUCAGGAUGGCGUCACAGCUAUAAAUUUCCAGGCUCAUCUGGAAAUUCAUUGCCCCAUCCGCAACUGAACAUUCUAGGCAAUGGAAGAAGCUUUGAGUUAUAUUCACUCUCUGAAACAAGGGACUCUUGAAGGUCUUGAGAUGGGAAGGAAAGAGGCAGGACACAAAUGCUACAUAAUGAAGAAGGGGCGCAGCGGUUGGGAUGCCAUGAAGACCAGCUGGAACCAGCUGCAAACAAUGUGGCUGUGAGAAUAGCCCAGGCAUUGACCUUUAGCUCAUUAUACCUUCCUUGUAACACUAAAAAUCACUCCCCCUUACACCUGACAGUUCCCAGGAAGACCAAAAAGGCCAGAAAGUUCCCAGUGGCCCAAUUCCUGGGAAAUCCCCAAAAUAGCAAGAAUAUUCCUCCCACUCAGUAGCCUAUGAAAUUAGCCCAUAAAAACCUAUGGCCCCAUUCCUGGGACCACUCUCACUUCCUGAGACGUCCACAUUCUGCCUAUAGAAUGUGCAUGUCUAAAUAAAUUUGUUUUCCCUUUACUCUGGCUGGCUCUUGAAUUCUUUCCUGCCAAAAACCCUCACUUGGCAAUCGGUCCUAAGACUCCUGCAGGUCCCAUGACGUGACAUUUCCCUCUCCUGCAACAGUCUUACCUUGCCAGCCUCCCCUUCUCCCUCUCCCCGCCUGCCUCGCCACCCCCACCCCCACCCCUGCAGCACUAACAGUAUGAUGCAGAGGGAGCCUUAAAAUGACCUGUACCGCAGGUUGUGGUUAGCCCUUAGCUUAAGAACACAAACUUUGGAAUUAGACCUGACUUCAGGACUUCCCACUUUUAGUUGUAUACCCUAGGGAAAGUUAUUUACUCUCUCUGAGUCUCCAUUUCUUCAUCUAAAGAAUGGAGGAAAUAAUCUCAACCUCAAAUGGCAUAAGAAUCAAACAAGAUGAUAUAUAUAAAGCACGUACCCUAGUUCUCGGCACGUGAUAAGCGCACAUGAAAUGGUAGCUAUUAACGUUAUUGCCGUUGUUGUUUCUAUUUUUUUUUUUUUGAGAUUGAAGUACAGUUGAUUUACGAUGUUGUGUUAGUUUCUGGUAUACA